CAGUCGGCACCGGCGAGGCCGUGCUGGAACCCGGGCCUCAGCCGCAGCCGCAGCGGGGCCGACAUGACGACAGCUCCCCAGGAGCCCCCCGCCCGGCCCCUCCAGGCGGGCAGUGGAGCUGGCCCGGCGCCUGGGCGCGCCAUGCGCAGCACCACGCUCCUGGCCCUGCUGGCGCUGGUCUUGCUUUACUUGGUGUCUGGUGCCCUGGUGUUCCGGGCCCUGGAGCAGCCCCACGAGCAGCAGGCCCAGAGGGAGCUGGGGGAGGUCCGAGAGAAGUUCCUGAGGGCCCAUCCGUGUGUGAGCGACCAGGAGCUGGGCCUCCUCAUCAAGGAGGUGGCUGAUGCCCUGGGAGGGGGUGCGGACCCAGAAACCAACUCGACCAGCAACAGCAGCCACUCAGCCUGGGACCUGGGCAGCGCCUUCUUUUUCUCAGGGACCAUCAUCACCACCAUCGGCUAUGGCAAUGUGGCCCUGCGCACAGAUGCCGGGCGCCUCUUCUGCAUCUUUUAUGCGCUGGUGGGGAUUCCGCUGUUUGGGAUCCUACUGGCAGGGGUCGGGGACCGGCUGGGCUCCUCCCUGCGCCAUGGCAUCGGUCACAUUGAAGCCAUCUUCUUGAAGUGGCACGUGCCACCGGAGCUAGUAAGAGUGCUGUCGGCGAUGCUUUUCCUGCUGAUCGGCUGCCUGCUCUUUGUCCUCACGCCCACGUUCGUGUUCUGCUAUAUGGAGGACUGGAGCAAGCUGGAGGCCAUCUACUUUGUCAUAGUGACGCUUACCACCGUGGGCUUUGGCGACUAUGUGGCCGGCGCGGACCCCAGGCAGGACUCCCCGGCCUAUCAGCCGCUGGUGUGGUUCUGGAUCCUGCUCGGCCUGGCUUACUUCGCCUCAGUGCUCACCACCAUCGGGAACUGGCUGCGAGUAGUGUCCCGCCGCACUCGGGCAGAGAUGGGCGGCCUCACGGCUCAGGCUGCCAGCUGGACUGGCACGGUGACAGCGCGCGUGACCCAGCGAGCCGGGCCCGCCGCCCCGCCGCCGGAGAAGGAGCAGCCACUGCUGCCUCCACCGCCCUGUCCAGCGCAGCCGCUGGGCAGGCCCCGAUCCCCUUCGCCCCCCGAGAAGGCUCAGCCGCCUUCCCCGCCCACGGCCUCGGCCCUGGAUUAUCCCAGCGAGAACCUGGCCUUCAUCGACGAGUCCUCGGAUACGCAGAGCGAGCGCGGCUGCCCGCUGCCCCGCGCGCCGAGAGGUCGCCGCCGCCCAAAUCCCCCCAGGAAGCCCGUGCGGCCCCGCGGCCCCGGGCGUCCCCGAGACAAAGGCGUGCCGGUGUAGGGGCAGGAUCCCUGGCCGGGCCUCUCAAGGGCUUCGUUUCUGCUCUCCCCGGCAUGCCUGGCUUGUUUGACCAAAGAGCCCUCUUUCCACGAGACUGAAGUCUGGGGAGGAGGCUACAGUUGCCUCUCCGCCUCCUCCCUGGCCCCGGCCCUUCCCUCACUUCCAUCCAUCUCUAGACCCCCCCAAGGCUUUCUGUGUCGCUGCCCCGGGCGGGUGUAUCCCUCACAGCACCUCACGACUGUGCCUCAAAGCCUGCAUCAAUAAAUGAAAACGGUCUGCACCGCUGCGGGCGUGACGCUCCCGGACGCGAGUGGGUGUGGAAUUGCUUUCCUCGGGCCACCGUGGGGGCACCUCUGGCCUCCCGUGACCCCCAGGCCGAGGGUCCCCGGGCACCCAGGUCGGUCAAGUCUCGGCCCUCUCAGGCCCGCGUCUCUGCCUGGAGGAGACUGUGUAGGGUCCGGCGUGGGGAUCAGCCAGGAUGGGCUGCGCGUCUCCAGCCUCUGCACACACAUUGGCGGGUGGGGUGCAGGGAGGGAGAGGCAGGGGAGAGAGAAUGGCAUCUCGCGUGGAGGGCUGUCGUUUGAACUCUCCCAGCGCGAGAGACCCUGCCCCGCCCCCUUCCUGGAGCGUUGACUCCCUUCUCGUCUCGAGGCCUGUGGCGUCUGGGUCCGUUGGGGCAGAACCAUGGAGGAAAAGCCUUCGAAAGUGUCGCUCAAGUCUUCCGACCGCCAAGGCUCGGACGAGGAGAGCGUGCAUAGCGACACUCGGGACCUGUGGACCACGACCACGCUGUCCCAGGCACAGCUGAACAUGCCGCUGUCCGAGGUCUGCGAGGGCUUCGACGAGGAGGGCCGCAACAUUAGCAAGACCCGCGGGUGGCACAGCCCGGGGCGGGGCUCGUUGGACGAGGGGUACAAGGCCAGCCACAAGCCGGAGGAACUGGACGAGCACGCGCUGGUGGAGCUGGAGUUGCACCGCGGCAGCUCCAUGGAAAUCAAUCUGGGGGAGAAGGACACUGCAUCCCAGAUCGAGGCCGAAAAGUCUUCCUCAAUGUCAUCACUCAAUAUUGCGAAGCACAUGCCCCAUCGAGCCUACUGGGCAGAGCAGCAGAGCAGGCUGCCACUGCCCCUGAUGGAACUCAUGGAGAAUGAAGCUCUGGAAAUCCUCACCAAAGCCCUCCGGAGCUACCAGUUAGGGAUCGGCAGGGACCACUUCCUGACUAAGGAGCUGCAGCGAUACAUCGAAGGGCUCAAGAAGCGCCGGAGCAAGAGGCUGUACGUGAAUUAAAAACGCCACCUUGGGCUCGAGCAGCGACCCGAACCAGCCCCGUGCCAGCCCGGUCCCCAGACCCAAGCCUGACCCCAUCCGAGUGGAAUUUGAGUCCUAAAGAAAUAAAAGAGUCGAUGCAUGAAAAAAAAAAAAAAAAAAAAAAAAAAAAAAAAAAAAAAA
rnacentral:lncRNA from 1 species